UCGAGAAUCUUUCGCAAUGGGCGCAAGCCUGACGAAGCGACGCCGUGUGAGCGAAGAAGGCCUUCGGGUUGUAAAGCUCUUUCGCUAGGGGACAAGAGAAGGGUGAUAAGACCACUCUGAUUUGAGAGUACUUGGUAAAGAAGCACCGGCUAACUCCGUGCCAGCAGCUGCGGUAAUACGGAGGGUGCAAGCAUUGAUCGGAAUUACUGGGCGUAAAGGGCGCGUAGGCGGUAAGGUAAGUCAGAUGUGAAAUUCCGCAGCUCAACUGCGGAGCUGCAUUUGAAACUGCCUUGCUAGAGUGUAGUUAGGGAAAACGGAAUUCCACGUGUAGCGGUGAAAUGCGUAGAUAUGUGGAAGAACACCGGUGGUGAAGACGGUUUUCUGGGCUAUAACUGACGCUGAGGCGCGAAAGCUAGGGGAGCAAACAGGAUUAGAUACCCCUGUAGUCC
rnacentral:rRNA from 1 species